rnacentral:rRNA from 1 species
UACGUAGGGGGCAAGCGUUGUCCGGAUUUAUUGGGCGUAAAGAGCGUGUAGGCGGCCAUACAGGUCCGUUGUGAAAACUGGAGGCUUAACCUCCAGACGUCGAUGGAAACCGUAUGGCUAGAGUUCGGGAGAGGAGAGUGGAAUUCCCGGUGUAGCGGUGAAAUGACGCAGAUAUCGGGAAGAACACCCGUGGCGAAGGCGGCUCUCUGGAACGAUACUGACGCUGAGACGCGAAAGCGUGGGGAGCGAACAGG